AAAAGACUUAGUCCUAACCUUACUGUUAGUUUUUGCUAGACAUAUACAUGCGAGUAUCCGCGUUCCAGUGUAAAUGCCCUAGGCACCCUUAAACAUAAGUCGAUAGGAGCGGGUAUCAGGCUCACCACUCACUACCGUGAUCGUAGCCCAAGACGCCUUGCACUUGCCACACCCCCACGGGUUCUCAGCAGUAAUUAAUAUUAAGCAAUGAGUGUAAACUUGACUUAGUCAUAGCAAUUCAAGGGUUGGUAAAUCCUGUGCCAGCCACCGCGGUCAUACAGGAGACCCAAAUUAACUUUAUAACGGCGUAAAGAGUGGUCACAUGUUAUCCAAGUAAUUAAGAUCAAAAAGCAACUGAGCCGUAGUAAGCCCAAGAUGCCCAUAAGACCAGCUACCAAAGAAGAUCUUAAUCCAACGAUUAAUUAAAAUCCACGAAAGCCAGGGCCCAAACUGGGAUUAGAUACCCCACUAUGCCUGGCCCUAAAUCUUGAUGCUCUAUCCUACCUGAGCAUCCGCCCGAGAACUACGAGCACAAACGCUUAAAACUCUAAGGACUUGGCGGUGUCCCAAACCCACCUAGAGGAGCCUGUUCUAUAAUCGAUGAUCCACGAUAUUACCUGACCAUUCCUUGCAACAUUUCAGCCUAUAUACCGCCGUCGCCAGCCCACCCCCCCUGAAGGUUCAACAGUGAGCGCAAUAGUCCAACCACACUAGUAAGACAGGUCAAGGUAUAGCCUAUGGAAUGGAAGCAAUGGGCUACAUUUUCUAGAAUAGAACAUCACGGCAAAGGGGCAUGAAACAGCCCCUGGAAGGCGGAUUUAGCAGUAAAGUGGGACAAUCGAGCCCUCUUUAAGCCGGCUCUGGGACACGUACAUACCGCCCGUCACCCUCCUCGCAAGCGACCAAAACCUAAAUAAAUUAAUAAGCCAUUAAGCUAAAGAUGAGGCAAGUCGUAACAAGGUAAGUGUACCGGAAGGUGUACUUAGACAACC
rnacentral:ncRNA from 1 species